CAGUAGCCGCGGGAAUACGUAGGGUGCAAGCGUUAAUCGGAAUUACUGGGCGUAAAGCGUGCGCAGGCGGUUUGUUAAGACAGAUGUGAAAUCCCCGGGCUCAACCUGGGAACUGCAUUUGUGACUGGCAAGCUAGAGUCUGGCAGAGGGGGGUGGAAUUCCGCGUGUAGCAGUGAAAUGCGUAGAUAUGCGGAGGAACACCGAUGGCGAAGGCAGCCCCCUGGGCCAACACUGACGCUCAUGCACGAAAGCGUGGGGAGCAAACAGGAUUAGAGACCCCAGUAGUCCCUGUCUCUUAUAC
rnacentral:rRNA from 1 species